GAAUUUUGCUCAAUGGGCGAAAGCCUGAAGCAGCAACGCCGCGUGAGGGAUGAAGGCCUUCGGGUUGUAAACCUCUUUUCUCAGGGACGAUAAUGACGGUACCUGAGGAAUAAGCCACGGCUAACUACGUGCCAGCAGCCGCGGUAAUACGUAGGUGGCAAGCGUUGUCCGGAUUUACUGGGCGUAAAGAGCGCGCAGGCGGCCGAGUAAGUCGAAUGUGAAAGCCCCCGGCUCAACUGGGGAAGGUCAUUCGAUACUGUUCGGCUCGAAGAUAGGAGAGGGAAGCGGAAUUUCAGGUGUAGUGGUGAAAUGCGUAGAUAUCUGAAGGAACACCAGUGGCGAAGGCGGCUUUCUGGCCUAUUCUUGACGCUGAGGCGCGAAAGCUAGGGGAGCGAACGGG
rnacentral:rRNA from 1 species